CCGGCGAGAAGCUCGGUGUGCU
rnacentral:miRNA from 1 species